GAUGAAGAACGUAGCGAAAUACGAUAAGUAAUGUGAAUUGCAGAAUUCAGUGAAUCAUCGAAUCUUUGAACGCACAUUGCGCCCUCUGGUAUUCCGGGGGGCAUGCCUGUUCGAGCGUCAUUACAACCCUCAAGCUUUGCUUGGUAUUGGACAUUGCCAGUUUCUGGCAGGUCUUAAAAUCAGUGGCGGUGCCAUUUGGCUUCAAGCGUAGUAAUUCUUCUCGCUUUGGAGAUCCAAGUGGUUACUUGCCAAUAACCCCCAAUUUUUUCAGGUUGACCUCGGAUCAGGUAGGGAUACCCGCUGAACUUAAGCAUAUCAAUAAGCGGAGA
rnacentral:misc_RNA from 1 species